UACGUAGGUGGCAAGCGUUGUCCGGAAUUAUUGGGCGUAAAGCGCGCGCAGGCGGUCCUUUAAGUCUGAUGUGAAAGCCCACGGCUCAACCGUGGAGGGUCAUUGGAAACUGGGGGACUUGAGUACAGAAGAGGAAAGCGGAAUUCCACGUGUAGCGGUGAAAUGCGUAGAUAUCGGGAAGAACAUCGGUGGCGAAGGCGGCUCGCUGGGCCGUUGCUGACGCUGAGGCGCGAAAGCGUGGGGAGCAAACAGG
rnacentral:rRNA from 1 species